rnacentral:rRNA from 1 species
GAUGAACGCUGGCGGUGUGCCUAAUACAUGCAAGUCGAGCGAACAGACGAGGAGCUUACUCCUCUGACGUUAGCGGCGGACGGGUGAGUAACACGUGGAUAACCUACCUAUAAGACUGGGAUAACUUCGGGAAACCGGAGCUAAUACCGGAUAACAUGUUGAACCGCAUGGUUCAACAGUGAAAGACGGUCUUGCUGUCACUUAUAGAUGGAUCCGCGUCGCAUUAGCUAGUUGGUAAGGUAACGGCUUACCGAGGCAACGAUGCGUAGCCGACCUGAGAGGGUGAUCGGCCACACUGGAACUGAGACACGGUCCAGACUCCUACGGGAGGCAGCAGUAGGGAAUCUUCCGCAAUGGGCGAAAGCCUGACGGAGCAACGCCGCGUGAGUGAAGAAGGUCUUCGGAUCGUAAAACUCUGUUAUUAGGGAAGAACAAAUGUGUAAGUAACUAUGCACGUCUUGACGGUACCUAAUCAGAAAGCCACGGCUAACUACGUG